AUUGAACGCUGGCGGCAGGCCUAACACAUGCAAGUCGAACGAGUGGCGGACGGGUGAGUAAUGUCUGGGAAACUGCCUGAUGGAGGGGGAUAACUACUGGAAACGGUAGCUAAUACCGCAUACCAUCAGAUGUGCCCAGAUGGGAUUAGCUAGUAGGUGGGGUAACGGCUCACCUAGGCGACGAUCCCUAGCUGGUCUGAGAGGAUGACCCGCCCAACUGUAACUGGAGCACGGUCCAGACUCCUACGUGGGGCAGCAGUGGGGAAUAUUGCACAAUGGGCGCAAGCCUGAUGCAGCCAUGCCGCGUGUAUGAAGAAGGCCUUCGGGUUGUAAAGUACUUUCAGCGGGGAGGCGUUACCCGCAGAAGAAGCACCGGCUAACUCCGUGCCAGCAGCCGCGGUAAUAC
rnacentral:rRNA from 1 species